rnacentral:rRNA from 1 species
GGUCAAGUUAUUAAGGGUGCAGGGCGGAUGCCUUGGCACUAGGAGCCGAUGAAGGACGUGAUAAGCUGCGAUAAGCUUCGGGGAGUUGCACGUAAACUUUGAUCCGAAGAUUUCCGAAUGAGGAAACUCACUUAGAGUAAUGUCUAAGUAUCAUUAAGUGAAUACAUAGCUUAAUGAGGGGAACUCAGGGAACUGAAACAUCUAAGUACCUGAAGGAAGAGAAAGAAAUUCGAUUCCGUAAGUAGCGGCGAGCGAACGCGGAUUAGCCCAAACCAAUAAAGUUUUCUUU